GGGUCAGUAGGUUGGUCGUGCCACCGGUACGUACUGGUCUCACUGAUUCCUCCUUCCUGAAGAACCGUAAUGCCAUUAAUUUGGUGUUGCGGGGAAACACGACUGUUACUUUGAAAAAAUUAGAGUGUUUAAAGCAAGCUAACGCUUGAAUACAUUAGCAUGGAAUAAUGAAAUAGGACGAUCGAUCCUAUUUUGUUGGCUUCUAGGAUUGACGUA
rnacentral:rRNA from 1 species